rnacentral:pre_miRNA from 1 species
AAACUACUCCCUUCGUCCGGAAAAGUUUGUCCCAAGUUUGUUCCUCAAAUGGAUGUAUCUAUCACUAACUUGAUGCUAGGUACAUUCAUUUGAAGGUCAAGUUUUUUCGGACGGAGGGAAUAUUAA